CAGAAUGGCCGAAUCAGAAGGAAGUACUGAUUUGAAAGAAGAAGAAAACAAUUCUUCAACACCCUCAGAAGAUAUUGUCAAGUUUAAAGACCCUUUGUUAACUGGUCUAGACAGAGAGAGUGACGAUGACGGGAUGGAAAGUCUUGACCUCGAUGCAUCCGGCCGGUCAGACAUCACUGUGUCAAGAAGUUCGAGUUUGAUCGCUAAUUUCCGACUGGAUGACUAUCAAGAUGGAGAGCUGAAGGAUCUGUUUGUGUUCGUGGAUAACCCCGAGAAACACAGCGGCACCAUCGAGACCUACAUCACGUUCAGAGUGUCCACUAAGACAACCAGGAGUAUAUUUGAUUCGACUGACUUCUGCGUUCGACGGCGUUACAAUGAUUUCUUGUGGCUCCGACAGAAGCUGGAAGAAACGUAUCAGACUCACCUUGUCCCUCCGCUACCAGAAAAGCACAGUUUGAAGAGACUGGAUCGAUUCAGUGCCGACUUCCUCCGAGUUCGCCAGGCCGCACUACAGAAGUUUCUCACACGUCUGGCUGAUCACCCGGUUCUCUCGUUUGACAAGAGCUUUCAAGCUUUCCUCACUUCAAAAGCAUGGGAGUUCCAGGCCCACAAGAAGCAGGUGUCGGGGAUACUAACGCGCGUGACGGAUUCGCUACACAACAUGGGCGCGUCGUACAUGAUGAAGAAUCGACCCCCAGAGUUCAUGACCAUGCAUGACUACGUUAACACCUUCAGUGACAAGGUUGCAGUCAUGGACAGAAUAUCGUCGAGGAUUCUCAAGGAACAAACUGACUAUUUGAGUGAAUUGAAUGAGUGGGGACCGGUCUACACGUUAUGGUCGAAUUCCGAAGAUCAGCUUAGUUCUUCUCUGCUGUGUAUGUCCAAAACUAUUGACAAGUGCUGUCACGCCCUCAAGGAAGUGAUUGACUCGACAGAUGACCAGCUUACCCAACCUCUCAGGGAAUACAUUUUAUACUCGGAGUGUAUCAAGGCAGUAUUACGUCGUAGAGACGCCAUGCAGAUGGAGUAUGACAUGAUAGUGGAUGAGCUCAACAAGAAGAAAGAAGAAAGAGAACAGGUGAAGACAUCGGAUCAGACGUAUUCAAUUGGUGCUUUUCUCGGCAAAGAUCCAGAGGAUGUGAAACAACAAAAACAGGAGAAGUUGGAGCAGCAGAUUCACGAGCUGACGUGUCAGAUGGAGAUGCUGAACGACCGGUCGGUGGUGGCGAACGCGGACCUCAAGUCGGACAUGGAGCGUUGGCACAAGACAAAGCAGCAUGACAUGAAGGAGAUUCUCGUCAGCAUGGCCGACCAACAGAUCGUGUACUACGAGAAGUGCCUUGCCGCAUGGGAGGAUGCAAUCAAGUCAUUCCAGAUCACAGGUCACAAGAAAGGGGAGACAACCACAGAAAAACCGAAAGACUUGCCAGCUGAAUCUGCCACAUAGAAAACGAACGAUGGUGUGAAAAAACCCCACCACAGUGUAACGUUAAUUACUGGCACACACAAUGUGUACGUCAGAUACUACAUAUUGCUGUUGUAAUUCUACAGAAUUUGAACAAACACCUAAACAACAUUUGUCACCUGUCUGCUAUAGUUGAUCAUGCUCUAGAUUUGGAGUCCAGUUGUGAAGAUAAAAAACGCUGUCUCUGUCAAGUCUUCUUUGGAACCGCAAAGCUUGAAAGCCAGUGUUGCUCCAUUUGGUCAGUGCUUUAACUUGGCUUCAGUGCAGAGGGGUCAGAAUUGCAGGAUGUGCCCUGGGGACUGUGGUCCUGUUGAACAUGGACAUUCAUCAGUGUCUGCCAGUUUCAGGUGGUACAUGCAGGGCUCACGCGGCCGGGCGAAGUGAGCCAAAACUUCGCUCUCACCAGCCUGACUUUGCCGUGCUAGUCACCGUACGGCAAAAUCUAUGUCACCUUUUUAAAAAUAGCUUCAUAGAUAAUAAUUAAGUGUGAAUGGCCUGAGAGUUUGAAGAGACACUGGCACCACAAAAUCAUGCGACUGGCAAACAUUUUUUGUAUUGUACACAACAGUGACAAGGUGCAGCAGAUAAGCAAUGUUCACACCUUCACGGAUACUAGUACCCAUUCAGUCUUACAACUCCACAGUGUAUUAAUUAAGAAAUUGUGACUGUGGUACGCAUUUACUUGCCUCUGGGUAAUCUAAGCUUGACCAUGGUAGAUUAAUCUUCUAGGACAAUAUUCUGCAUGGAGUAGACCUAGGUAUUAAAUGAAUGAGAAGACAAACUUGUGAGAGAAUGACUUCUAAACAGUUAAAUUAGUGCUUUUCAAUUACAUUUCAUUAUUUCUGAAGAAUGUGACAUGAGAAAAGGUGAUUUAAAAAAACCUAUAGAGCACAUAGCCAUCAAUUAGCAGUACAGAUGGUAAACAAAUAUAAAAUAAAAUACAGA
rnacentral:misc_RNA from 1 species